GAUGAACGCUGGCGGCGUGCCUAAUACAUGCAAGUCGAGCGAACAGACGAGGAGCUUGCUCCUCUGACGUUAGCGGCGGACGGGUGAGUAACACGUGGAUAACCUACCUAUAAGACUGGGAUAACUUCGGGAAACCGGAGCUAAUACCGGAUAAUAUAUUGAACCGCAUGGUUCAAUAGUGAAAGACGGUUUUGCUGUCACUUAUAGAUGGAUCCGCGCCGCAUUAGCUAGUUGGUAAGGUAACGGCUUACCAAGGCAACGAUGCGUAGCCGACCUGAGAGGGUGAUCGGCCACACUGGAACGGAGACACGGUCCAGACGCCUACGGGAGGCAGCAGUAGGGAAUCGUCCGCAAUGGGCGAAAGCCUGACGGAGCAACGCCGCGUGAGUGAUGAAGGUCUUCGGAUCGUAAAACUCUGUUAUUAGGGAAGAACAAAUGUGUAAGUAACUAUGCACGUCUUGACGGUACCUAAUCAGAAAGCCACGGCUAACUACGUG
rnacentral:rRNA from 1 species